rnacentral:misc_RNA from 1 species
GAAAAUACUUCUACCAGUCAGGCAAUUUCUGGGCCUGUUUCAGUGUCUUUUCCUUGUGCUUCUUCCAUAGAAAGUACCAGCGCAACCAUCCUACAGAAUGUAACUGUUGUUGCGCCCAGCCAUCAGUCAAUUGCACCUUCUCUUGCUGUUGUUUCUCAGUCUGGUCCUCCUUGCCCUCCUACAAGUGGACAGGGAAGGGGCCGAGGUAGAGGCCGAGGUCGAGGUCGAGGUCGAAAGCCUCAAACUGGAGGAGAAGCUCCAGGGCGUAGAGGAAAACAACAGAAUGUUACAGCGGAGGCUUUCCCCGCCCCUCCAACUCAAGCAGUAAGUGAGCCCGUCUCUGCAGCGCAAGGUGUGAGUGUUAUGAGUUCUACUCACCAUAUGCCCGCAACACCUCCUGCAGUGGGUGAGCCUGAUGUGCCCCAGGUGGUGGCAGGUUUGGGUUCAAAAAACCUUGGUCAUGCUCCUGUUUCCAUGAGAGAUGCUAGUAAGGAACUGAAUUCGGUUGUGCCUCUUGCAACAUCUUCCUCUAGCAAAGACUUAACCCCUGUUUCGACUGUUUCUGUUGUUCCAUCGUCUGCUGCCAGUCAGGACCCUAGUUCAAUUUCACCUCCAGGUGUCCUUCAAUCAUCCUCGAGAAACCAUUCAGACCAUCUUUCCCUCUCUGCUGCCCAGACCGAAGCUACUCUGCAGGUGAAUCCAAUUUCAGUAGUUCCUCAUAGUUCACCUUCAGCUGGCAAGGAAACGAGU